CGCCCUCUCACUUUCUUCCCGCGAACUUCAAGGAGCGUAUUAGCACCACAAACAGCAAACGGCACUGCUUCUUUCAACUGACGGACUUGUUCUUUGUAGUCUUCAUCUUCAUCACUAUCACAAUCAGGGAGAGGGUGGAGCAUCUCUUUCCUAGUGAGAACGUCUGCUUUGGCGAUCACGGGAACAAUAUUAACCUUGUUGUGCAGCUGUUUCAUGAACUCAACAUCCAAAGGCUUCAAACUGCAACAAAUAAAAAGAAUCUUCAUUACAUACAUAUCAGACACUUGUUACAAGCUUGAAAAAUCACAACACAUUUACAGCAAAAUAGUGAUAGAAAAAAUAGCAUUGUCUCGAUGGGUCAGUUUGGCUUGAUGGAAGAUUCACCUGUGCAAACUUAGAUAUUUCCCAGUUUAAAAAGAAAAAGAAAAAAAAAAAAAAAAAAAAAAACAACGAUAGUUACCAAGAUAUACCUAUGAACUUAGUUGCAAAUCAAAACAAAGAUAUCCCUAUGAACUUAGUUGCAAAUCAAAACAAAGAUAUCCCUAUGAACUUAGUUGCAAAUCAAAACAAACACUUGCUGUAUAACAUCCAAACAAUGGAAAAACAAAUUGGAGCUAUAGGUCUGUUUUCAUGAGCAACGAUCUAGCCACGUUCAAUAAUGGAUCAGGCAAAGGAUAGUCCAAUGUCCUUCAGCAAGAUAAAAGAAAAUGAUAAUUUGAAGAAUGGGGCAGUGGAGAGGAACUUUUGUAGGGUUGUAGUACAGUUUUUCUUCUGUAAAAUUGUGUGAAAAAACCAAAUAGAUCAUUAAUAAGUUCAACAGAGUAUUUCUAAGGGGAGAAAAAGCUAAUCAAAAUUGGACCAAAAACUGACAGACAGAGUUGUCAUUCCUGAAUAUUCGAAUUUUGUUGUAGAUACAGUAAAUCUAGGUUUUGUGUGGCUAUUCAUGUUUACAAUUCAUGACUUACCCAUGUCCAAAAGGAGAGAUGAAAUAGAAACAACAGUGUAUCCGAUUGUCCACAAUGUUUCUUCUAUUUAGACCACUUUCAUCUCGUAAAAAUCUUUCAAACUGAUCAUCUAUGUACUGAAUUAUUGCUCGGAAACUGAAAUACAGAAAAACUUAAAUAUAAGGCACUGAACGUCUAAUCCUUUUCUUCUCAUGAUGACAGAAGGAUGUUAGGGAUACGCUCUGAUUCUUAAAAAUCACAAUGUUUCCCUGCAGCCGAAUUUCUCUUUAUUACACAUGAGUUUUCAUGUGAUAAAUUUGAAAAAGGAAAAAAAAUAAGUCCCCACUGUAUCUAAAAUUGAUUGAUACAUCUAAGAUUGAUUGACAUAUUUAGGUUUGAUGUGUUUAUUUUCAAUAGCAUGUCAUUUUUCAUGAAAGAAAAAAAUGAUCAUUGGAUUUGCAUCAGAAACAACUCAGUAAAACACACAGAUAGAACACA